rnacentral:rRNA from 1 species
UACGGAGGGGGCUAGCGUUGUUCGGAAUUACUGGGCGUAAAGCGCACGUAGGCGGAUUUGUAAGUCAGGGGUGAAAUCCCGGGGCUCAACCUCGGAACUGCCUUUGAUACUGCAAAUCUUGAGUCCGGAAGAGGUGAGUGGAAUUCCUAGUGUAGAGGUGAAAUUCGUAGAUAUUAGGAAGAACACCAGUGGCGAAGGCGGCUCACUGGUCCGGUACUGACGCUGAGGUGCGAAAGCGUGGGGAGCAAACAGG